AGGCAAGCAGAGUUAAUGGAUUUGCCCAGGGUCACAUAGCUAACACAGUUCAACUUCUGGAGGGUCUAUCACAGUAAACACCGUCUAAACGGAUGUGCUGAGAGGCUGCUUACUGUAAGGAAAUUACAUGGUGACUCAUUAGAGCAGGUAAGGACUAUAGAAAUCCCAUGUUCCGAGGUUGACUUUUCCAGAUAAUUUGAUUCAAUUUGAGCAAUAUUUAUUAUUAUUGUGUUCUAGGAACUGGG
rnacentral:lncRNA from 1 species